rnacentral:rRNA from 1 species
AAGGGCAUUCCCGUUGAUCAAGACGAAAGUUAAGGGUUCGAAAGCGAUCAGAUACCGUCGUAGUCUUAACUAUAAAUGAUACUGACCAGGGAUAGGAUACUGUCCAUCUCGACUCUUCCCGGACCUUAGAGAAAUCAGAGUCUUUGAGUUCUGGGGGGAGUAUGGUCGCAAGGCUGAAACUUAAAGGAAUUGACGGAAGGGCACACAAAGAGUGGAACCUGCGGCUUAACCUACACACUUAGGCCCAGAAAGCGGUUGGCUUGCGCGGAUCGGGGGGAAAGUAAGCCGGAACGCUGGGGGCACCCAGUGGACCAGCCGGAACCCUCCCAGGAUGUGCUGGUGCGCGGAUCAGGGGCAAAGUAAGCCGGAACGCUGGGGGCACCCAGUGGACCAGCCGAAACCCUCCCGGGCUGUGCUGGUGCGGGAUCAGGGGCAAAGUAAGGCGGAACGCUGGGGGCACCCGGCAGACCGAACGAAACCCUCUUGGUGACCGUGCUCGUUUGCUAGUGGGGAAAGGCGGGAGGGCGUCGGACGCUUCACCCUGCCGCCUAGUACCUGCAAUACUCGUAAAAAGCUGGGAGGGUCGCUAUACCCGGAGCCUACCAAGCCGGUCCCCGAAAGGGGGCUGGUGGCCUUGGCUAAUGACCAAGGGUACGGUAAUAAUGGCUUUGGGGAGACUUACCAGCAACCAAUCCCGAAUGUAAGCCUAGUAAGGUUGGGGGGGACCCCGCCAGAAGCGUUUUCAAGGGUGCAGUUCACAGGCUAAACAUGGGUGAGUGUGGGCGGRAGGRAGGGGGCUGGUCUACCGUUUCUCGGGCUAAUGCAGCCUGGGGGGCACCUGACUGGUUCCCGCCUUCCCAAAGGCGGGCGAAGGGCUGGCUGACCGUCCUCCGGGCUUAAGGGCCCCGUUGGAAUUGGAAGGCUGGUCAUACAAAGGGCUCGGGCUGGACCAUCACUGGGGUGCUGCGGCCCCGGGGGUGAGAGGCUUGGGUUCCCCAACCCUCCGAAAAAGGGCGGGAGAAGAGCUGGUCCACCGUCCCCCCCCUCAAGGGGGGGGGCACCGGACCGGCUCCCAACCCCCCGAAGGCAUGCUUAAGAUAUGGUCGGUUCCCGCCUUGGUAAAGCGGGAUCAAUGCGUAAUUUGACUCAACACGGGAAAACUCACCAGGUCCGGAU